rnacentral:rRNA from 1 species
UUGACCUCGAAUCAGGUCGGAAUACCCGCUGAACUUAAGCAUAUCAAUAA